rnacentral:tRNA from 2 species
GGAUCCGUAGCUCAGUGGAUGAGAGCACUAGCCUUCGGAGCUAGUUGUCGUGGGUUCAAAUCCCACCGGAUCCG